rnacentral:antisense_RNA from 1 species
GAAGCCCUAUAAUACCCAAUGGUUCAAUUGUAACCGUGCAUACUCUGAGAGCUUAGAUGAAGAUAGCCUCGAACACUAGGAGAAAAGCGCCCACACCUAAUAAGAUUAAGUGAAUACCCAAAAGAGUGGUCAUUUUCUUUCUAUUACAUAA